rnacentral:rRNA from 1 species
UACGUAGGUGGCAAGCGUUUGUCCGGAAUUAUUGGGCGUAAAGCGCGCGCAGGCGGUCCUUUAAGUCUGAUGUGAAAGCCCACGGCUCAACCGUGGAGGGUCAUUGGAAACUGGGGGACUUGAGUACAGAAGAGAAGAGUGGAAUUCCACGUGUAGCGGUGAAAUGCGUAGAGAUGUGGAGGAACACCAGUGGCGAAGGCGACUCUUUGGUCUGUAACUGACGCUGAGGCGCGAAAGCGUGGGGGAGCAAACAGG